UUUGUUAUGGGAUCCGUCGCCCGGGAUAUCAGAAUCAGGCCCAAACGCCCCAAUAAUCACCAUCGGAAUCAGGUGAGUCCAAAGGAUGUGUCGUUCUGUACGGUGGGUUGCUGUCUCCCGCUCCGUUCAACCCCUUCUUGAGGCAGCGGAAUCGGGCAGGAUAAUCUUCACAGGCGGGACACACUCUUGCCACUCGGGCCGUCCAUCGAGAAUUCUACGAAGUCAUCAAGAUCCUUCGUACCCAGCAACCACCGGUACCGCCUCGCUCCCUCCUCGUCCGCCUUUCCGCUCCGUUCUGCCCUCAACAUUACCUGGAGAAAAGGAAAGAAAAUUUAGAUUCCACCGAAGUCGAAAGCCCAAUCGAUGGCGGGUAUAUAAAUCAGAGGAAAACAAAGGGCCGGGAAAUGGCUAAGUUAGGUCAUGAAAGGGAAGAAUGGCGUUAUGGAGUAGAAAGUGAGAUCAGAGAAGGAAGAAGAGAAUUAUCGGGUAGAAAGGCAGUUCAGGAUAGGUCAGGGGAGUUAUGGUUUAUUUGGAGAGGUUUGCGAGGAGGCUGUCAGCGUCGAGUCAUGGGAAGAUUUGCUGCCAGGGACCGUAAAUUAAAGCUCAGCGAAGUGAUUCCUUAAUGUGUCCGUAAGGCUACAAGAUAAAAGUGAAGACGUGUUAAUGAUAAUAUAUAAUAAUCUGUACCUGAGUCUGCUGUUCCCCUUUAGCCCUCUCAGUCACCGCUGCUGCUACCACAGAACCGAUGGAGUUGAGCAAAAGAGAACCACCUUACACAUGAAGCAAAAGAUUCCCACAAUUUCUCUGCCCUGGCAUCCAAAAUAUAACACGAAUAACACGUCAGUAAUUUAUCCAAUGCUAAGAAGGUAAAUGGAUAUUGUGAAAAAGACUACUGGAUGUUACGACCACACGAUUAAUGUUUGGUUUUGCGACUUAUCUAAAAAAAGUGAAUUAGUUGAAGGGAGGAUUUACGAAGCGUCAUACCAGUGAUGAUCCUUUUCCUCCUGAAUACGAUAGGACACUGCUGCCAACGUGAAUCUUGAGUUUAUACCUGUGGCAGAGAAUCCCCAGGUGACCAGGUAGAGAGUGCACUUAAUUGACCCGCUUCACCUGUGUCAUUUCGUCACGGCGCCGCAACAUCCCCGCCCCACGAAGGCGUUACAGUGCUACGCGAGUCAUUACAUUAGUCAGGAGUCAUUGGGGAGUUCUCGAUUCUCCACCAAAAUGACAAAUACACGAUAGGAAGAACUUGUGAGUGAGCGUCUGGUGAAAGUUGGGUGAUAUAUACAUGUGGUGGGACACGGAAACGGGGUCAGUGGUGUUGAA